GAUGAACGCUAGCGGCAGGCUUAAUACAUGCAAGUCGAGGGGCAUCAAGGUACACGAAAGUGUAUUGUUGGCGACCGGCGGACGGGUGAGUAAUAGGUAGGUAACCUACCUCAUACUGAGGCAUAGCUGGGAGAAAUUCCAGGUAAUUCCUCAUGAGGUUAUAUGACACAUGUGAUAUAAUCAAAGGUAUCGCAAGGUACUGGUAUGAGAUGGGCUUACUGACCAUUAGCUAGUUGGUGAGAUAAGAGCUCACCAAGGCGAAGAUGGUUAGGGGUUUUGAGAGAGAGAUCCCCCACAUUGGAACUGAGAUACGGCCCAGACUCCUACGGGAGGCAGCAGUAGGGAAUAUUGGGCAAUGGGCGGAAGCCUGACCCAGCCAUGCCGCGUGAAGGAAGACGGCCUUAUGGGUUGUAAACUUCUUUACUAUGCGACUAACUAGAUUUACGAGAUAAUUCUAUAGAAUGUAGCAUAGCAAAAAGCACCGGA
rnacentral:rRNA from 1 species